CAAGUCACAGCAAGGGAUAAUUUAUAGUACCUUGUAAAAGUACCUCCUUCUAGGCUCCAAUCCCUCGACGACUGUCGACUGGUUUAAAAUGUGACAAUUUUCAGUCCAUUUGAAUCUCAAUUUUGGAACCAUAUCGCACCAUUUGAGUGGUGCAUCAUAUCGAACCGCAAUAGACCAGAUCGCACCUUCAAACUUCUCUUGGAAGAAGACCUCGCCCGCGACGGUGACGACAGAGGCAAUCGCGUGAAGUGUCAUUACGGCGUACGAAGACCCCAGUGGGUCACCGUCCAGGAGAUGCCCAAUGGAAACUUCUCGAAG
rnacentral:lncRNA from 7 species